rnacentral:rRNA from 1 species
GACAGAGGUGCCGAGCGUUAGGCGGAAUCACUGGGCUUAAAGCGUGUGUAGGCGGGUCGUUAAGUGUCUUGUGAAAUCCCACCGCUCAACGGUGGAACUGCUGGGCAUACUGGCGAUCUUGAGCCACCUAGGGGCAGACGGAACAAGCGGUGGAGCGGUGAAAUGCGUAGAUAUCUGGAGGAAUACCGGUGGCGAAGGCGGCAUCCCUGGACCGAGAUUGACACUGAUGAGCGAAAGCUAGGGGGAGCAAACGGG